rnacentral:rRNA from 1 species
CCUACGGGGGGCAGCAGUGAGGAAUAUUGGUCAAUGGCCGGAAGGCUGAACCAGCCAUGCCGCGUGAAGGUCAGUGCCCUAUGGGCGUUAAACUUCUUUUGUGCGGGAGCAAUAAUGGUCACGUGUGGCCAGACGAGAGUACCGUACGAAUAAGCAUCGGCUAACUCCGUGCCAGCAGCCGCGGUAAUACGGGGGAUGCAAGCGUUAUCCGGAUUUAUUGGGUUUAAGGGGUGCGUAGGCUGUGAGGUAAGUCAGCGGUGAAAUGCCCCCGCUCAACGGGGUGAAGUGCCAUUGAUACUGCCUGGCUGGAAUGCGGAUGCCGUGGGAGGAAUGUGUGGUGUAGCGGUGAAAUGCAUAGAUAUCACACAGAACACCGAUUGCGAAGGUAUCUCACGAAUCCGCGAUUGACGCUGAUGCACGAAAGCGUGGGUAUCAAACAGGAUUAGAUACCCCAGUAGUC